GAAAAGAUGUGGAGUGGGCUGCUACCUCCUGGCCUAAAUGAAGGUGAUAUUGAGUUGAAUUCUGAAGAUGAAGCCACUUUAGAGGACUCUGGACUUAACUUGCACGAAAAUAAAGAGGAUGGAAACAUUAGAAAAACAGAAACCUUGGAUUUUCCAACAGAUGGUUCAAAAACUGAAACAGAGGCAAAUGUAAAUGCGUAUGAAGAAUGCCCUUCUGGAAUUCUCUUAAAUAUGUGGAAUAAAUUUCAAGAAUUGCAUAAAAAACAUUCUGAACAGAAAAGCUCAACAUCAAGAUUCAGAAGGAAAAAAAGAAAACACUCCAGAAAAGGUAAAUUGAAGAAAGAAAAAGAAACUCAUAGUGAACAGCCCUGAAAUGAAACCCACUGGAAGGAAGUUAGUAUUUUGGAGUCAAUGAUAGAUUUGAACCCCCUGUUAAAAAGAAAAAAGUUGAAAAGUCAGACCUUGAAAAGAGGAUACACCAAGCUGUGGAAGAGUGGAAUAUUGAGAAGGCCGAAGAACUCAGCAACCAACUAGCUACCCGAGAGCUAGGUGUAAAAACUGCCAAAGCAGUUGCUUGCCACAACUUCUUAAAAGCCAAAAAGGAGGCUGAAAAUUCACAGGCUGCUCGAAAAAAGAAGAAACUUGCAUGGGGGUUUGAAGCAAAGAAAAGAUGGGAAACCAAAAGCAACACAGGAUGUAUGUAA